rnacentral:rRNA from 1 species
GACGAACGCUGGCGGCGUGCUUAACACAUGCAAGUCGAACGGAGAGGCCCUGCUUUUGUGGGGUGCUCGAGUGGCGAACGGGUGAGUAACACGUGAGUAACCUGCCCUUGACUUUGGGAUAACUUCAGGAAACUGGGGCUAAUACCGGAUAGGAGCUCCUGCUGCAUAGUGGGGGUUGGAAAGUUUCGGCGGUUGGGGAUGGACUCGCGGCUUAUCAGCUUGUUGGUGGGGUAGUGGCUUACCAAGGCUUUGACGGGUAGCCGGCCUGAGAGGGUGACCGGCCACAUUGGGACUGAGAUACGGCCCAGACUCCUACGGGAGGCAGCAGUGGGGAAUAUUGCACAAUGGGCGGAAGCCUGAUGCAGCAACGCCGCGUGCGGGAUGACGGCCUUCGGGUUGUAAACCGCUUUCGCCUGUGACGAAGCGUGAGUGACGGUAAUGGGUAAAGAAGCACCGGCUAACUACGUG